rnacentral:tmRNA from 1 species
UCUCUUCCCAUCACCGGGCAGAGCGCCUAUAUUGAGUGGGUCAGGCUUCGGUUUGACUAUGGGGAUAAACGCCCACGUAAUAAGCGAACUGGACCCGGGUGCGAUUCCCGGCGGCUCCACCAUUAUUCUCCCGGUUUCGCGGGAAGGUUAUGGGGCCGAUCAGCAUCGACAGGCGUGUAAAGGUGAAGCUUUCCCUCAGUGUGAGGCUCUGUGAUCGCCUCAUUUUUUAACUGCGAACGAUAACUUCGCUUCGGAUCAAGCCAUCGCUGCGUAAUGCGGCCUGGUUAAUCCAGCCUACAACUCCUGGGAAAUAAGCCUCUCAGGCGGGGCCCGCUGGCCGCCUUGCAACAGAAGGCCAGCACC